rnacentral:rRNA from 1 species
ACUCCUACGGGAGGCAGCAGUGGGAAUAUUGCACAAUGGGCGCAAGCCUGAUGCAGCCAUGCCGCGUGUAUGAAGAAGGCCUUCGGGUUGUAAAGUACUUUCAGCAGUGAGGAAGGUGAGUCGUUAAUAGCGGCCUUCAUUGACGUUAGCUGCAGAAGAAGCACCGGCUAACUCCGUGCCAGCAGCCGCGGUAAUACGGAGGGUGCGAGCGUUAAUCGGAAUUACUGGGCGUAAAGCGCGUGUAGGUGGCUUGUUAAGCCAGAUGUGAAAGCCC